UUUAUCAAUAUUUCCUUCCUUUUCUGUGGAUCUUCAAAGAUUUCUUUGUGAAAGUUGUAUUAUCUUUUUCAGAAUGCCACAUGGUGAAUCUCGUUGGUCUAAAAAAGGAAAUUCCAUGCGGACUGGAGGCUGAUGUCACAGCUGAGAUUUGAAAUGGGCAUCUCCUGAAUACAAGCAAGAGUGGAAGGAGUAGGGGGCAACUCCAACCGACGGCGGAUUCUCUGGGCACGUUCCGUAAAUGCACGCACCAAGUGGUGAAAUCUCUGAAGGAUGAACAGUUGACUGUCAGCUUGAAGGCUACUAGAACACAAAAUUAUCGAACCAAUUAACUCAUUCACAUGCUUUAAUGUAUAGCGAUGUAACCCCAAUAUAUUACAUUAUAUGUAUGCUUUAAUUUUUCAUGAUUUAUGAACUUAAAUAUUAUCAUGGAACAUUUCCCCAUACUAUGCAGUGAGUAUCAGGGGCAAUUUACCCAGGGUAGAGCGAGUGGGGCAUGAAACUGACCACUCACUCCAUCUAAUGCCAAGGUCAAGAAUGGUGGAACUCUACCUCCACUUCCCCAUACGUCUUUAUGGCCUUAAAUAAGGGCAGGGACAGAUUUACUUGUACCUUUACACUUACCUGACAUACUGUAGUAGCUGUGGGACCUCAGCCCAUUAAGUAGACAUUUGCUACUUUAAUUCUUGUGAAACUUCGAUGGAUUACGUCAGAAGUGUUCGCUUAUUGGACAGCAGAUAUUUAUGUGAGAUCUGAGGUAAUAAUGGCAGGGAUUAUGAAGGUUACUCCCUUCUGGGAUGUGAUGCCAUGCAGUCUGGUAGAUUUUUAUCAACAUUUCAGAGGGAUCCCUUGUUUUCAUCUUCAGUGUAGAAGAGUCUUGUGCCUGAAGUUAUAGGAUGCUUUAAAAAACAGUGAUAAAUGUUGACAGUAUUAUACGUCCCAGAAGACUCUAAUUUUAUCACACAUUUACCUGCAGUUAAGUAUUGUGAUAAUUCUGAGGCAUCUAUUUUGAUGUUAUGUACGAAUUUUACUAAGCAAAAUUACAUAGUAUGUCAAUGCGUUAAUAGCUCAUGAGGCUCAGGAAAAAUCACGUGUGUGUACCUCAUCAUUAGGAGCUGGAUUUUUGUGCUCUAAUAAUCCCUUAAAUAUGUAUGCAUUUAUGCAUGAAAACUUCCAAAAAUGCAUAUAAAAAGUUAAUACCAAA